GGUCAUGGAGCCCAAGGGCGCCCCGACGGGUCCCCCCGGCGGCAGUCCCAGCGCGGGCGAGCCGGUGCGCAUCUGGUUCAGGGUCGGCCUGCCUUGCUCGCCCGAGCCAAACGGGGCUGCUGGACUUCCCCGUGGCCAGGGCCUGGCUGUCCUUGGGCUCUGUGGAUUCUAGAGGUUUGGCAAAUGGAUCGAAGGAUGGGGCACCACCUAGAGCUAGCCAGGAGAAAGAGGGAAAUGGAGUGAACUAGAAGAAAGGCAUCUUUUAAUGACCCCUCACCUCUGAUCAGCACUUCCCAUUUAUAAAACGUUUCCUCACCCAUGAAGUGUCCCAUUUCAUAACGUCGCUGUGAGGCUCUCUGUCCCGUCGACGUCGGCCAGCAGGUUCUGCGCCGCCGCCGUUGGCCAUUGGAGAGUCACCGUCCUUCCAGGACCUGGCCCCCUGCAGAAGGGACAGCCACCCUCUGCAGUCUCAGGUCUCACCUAUCUUGUUCUUCUGGGUACCCUGAGGACGUCUCUAGCCCACCCACGACGUAAGAGGCAUAAAUGUUUCCUGCCUGGUCGCCAGGAUCCACAGAGAUAAUGGCAAAGAUGAUGAGGCAUCCUGUCCAGACCCAAGUCUCACCUUUUCAGCCUCCUCACGGCUCAUGGCCAGGGCCAGCUGCAGCUGCAGUUCUUCUUCUCCGGAUGUCUGGGGCCGGGCCUGCUCCAGGUCUGAGGCAUAGCGUGGGGACGAGGAUGCAGCUGCAACAAGUGUGGUUCCCGUGAGCACACCGGUCCUCACGGUCCCCACACUCCUUUGCCUGCCAGGAAGCUGGGGCUCACAGAGAGGGAGCCAAAGGAGACUGGCUAUUCAGGCUCCAGGGAGCCAGGCAGUGCACUGGGCACCCCUUGUGGAUUCUCCACUGCACUGCUAAGGCAGAUGCCAGGGUCACCUUGGCAGGGAGUAGACAGUGCAGGGGGUGCCUGGCCACUUAGGGCCCUAAGUCAGAACCUAAUGCAGGUCCCUGACAUCAGCUCUUGAACUCUUCCAAUGGGACCCUAGCCUGCUUGGGGCCACGGGGAUUAAGAGGAAGGGAUCUGCCAAUCAAACAAAAUCACAGCCUCGGAGCCCCAAGCAGGCCAUCAUGGGCUUUAUGGAGGAGGGCCGUUCUGGUAUUCCUAAGGUCACAAAGGCCUCCACCACUGUGGCAAGCCAUCAGGAAGGAUGUUUCAUCAUCAGCCACCCUUGUUUUCAAGGACAAUACUCUUGAGUGGUGGGGAUUUACAGAAUGUCAGAUGUCUGAGUAAAAGGGUCAAGGGCA